CAGGUAGAUACAGUUAAAGUCUGGAUUGUCCUGUGGGGCUUCCGUGGACAGUUUCCCGAGGAUAUGUGGGAAUAUGGCGGCACCCGCCUUCCGGGAUCAGAAAAUGACCUGUGGUGGAAAAUCUGGGACUGGUCAGCAUGGGAGCUUGUACCGUGACUAGUGUGGAACUGGAACUAACUGUCCAGAGCAUCCAGCCAGGCAAUAGCAGGAUGAACUCGAAUGGAUGGUCAAAAGUCAACUCUAGGAAUGGAGGGAAUCUGUGAUGCUGCUCAGAUGCCUUUUUAUUUCAGGAUCAAAAAUGGAUC